CAGUGUCUGCUUUGCUCUUCAUAUUUCAUUUGUAAUAAAGAAACAUCAUCAGUGUGUCUCUUGUUGCAGGGAUCAAAGAUGGCAACGUCUGCAGCGACAGAGGGAACAGCUUCAAAUCGAAGAAGAACGUUUUUUGGCCGACCUCCCACCUGAGCAGAUGGUGGAGGAGGAGGAGAAUGAGGAGACUAAAUCAGUGAUCUAAAAGUCUGAACUUUGUGUCUGGACUUUGGGCUGACUGGUUGUUUGAAAACCAUGUUGAGUAUAAUGAUCUGUAGCUCUUUUUGUGACAGCUUGAUUUGGAUACUUAUGGAUAAAACAAAUGUAAAUGAUAAGAUUUGUUAGUGACAUAAGAUGAUGAAGUCAACUCAGCCUUAAAAACAACUGUUGUUUUCUAUUAUCUUACUGUCAUCUGUGUACUCAUUCUUUCAUUUUCUCUGCUGGGAUUCUUUUGAUUGAUUGAAGUCUUUUUUCAAAUUUGUAUUUUCUUUUCCCCCUUUGUUUCAGGAUAAAAAAACAAACAAAACAGAUCCACAAAAAGAAAAGUAAAUAAGACAACAGAACAUUUGAAUUUCAUGUUCGUAAAGAAGUGGGAAGAAGUGUGAAUUUAUAGAAUCCCACCCCCUCUCCGUUAAUCUGUAGUUAACAGUUGAACAGGCUUCCUUAUUUAAUCUUCAUUUACGAAUAAAUAAAUAACGAAUCUGCAAUACACAUUUAUAUAUAUAAACCAAUAAACAUACACAAUAUAUAAAUUAAAUACAAAUGUGUUUCUGCAAAAUAUAAUUUCAUCUAUCAUCCAUUAAAAAAAGAUAAGGACAGCACUCCAAAUUUGUGUAUUUAAUUGCCAAACGAACGUUUCGAGCCGACGCUCUUCUUCAGCGUGUAACAGGCAAUUUUUCAACCAUGCACAGGUGUAAUCAAUUUAUACUUGUCCAAGAUGGACACACCUCCAUCGCAGUAGAGAGUCUAUCAUUGUUUGUCUAUCAUUUAUCAACCAUUGACAUAUUUGAACAUGUAUUGAUUUCUUUUAUCUUCUAUAUUCAUGUUCUUCUCCCUUAAUUAAUGAUAUACAGUUUGUAGUAAUACAUUUAAGUUAGUGUUUUUUCUCCAUUACCUAUUUACCCUUCACCAUACCUGUCAACAUAUUUACAUAUAUACCUUCAUUCCUUUUAGAAAAACUAACAUAAGAAAAAAAUUAACAACCGUUAUAAUCACCAUCAUAACCACACAGCAAAUUUUGUACAUUUUUUAAAACUUGUUUGUGCUUCAGCUCCACAUUUAAACUGUUUAAAGUUUUACACCAACAAUAGAAAUUUGUGAUCCGGAAGAUGUUUUGCUUUAUUUAGGACUGAAAUGCUUCUUGACAGUUUGGCUUGUAUUUGUUUCAUUUGAGCUUUUCAGCUGAUUCUGUGAUCUAUUGUUACCCCAAGAAAUGUGUAUACAUAAACUCUUUCAAUGUUGACACCA